rnacentral:lncRNA from 1 species
AUUUUGUUGUUUCCGCUUUUUGUCCCUAUGGACCAUUCUGCUCUUGGUUUGUUGCUUGUGGGGAACCUCCCCACCACUAUUGUGGUGGAGAAUCCUCCCCCACCUACGGAAAUUGUGGCCUUUAAAAUACCAACUAGUAUUAUUGAUUGUGUCUUGGCUAAUCGAUAUGCAGGAGAUAGACAUCCUGGCGAACACUUGUUAUAUCUUUCACAACUAUGCUCC